AGAACUUUGAAGAGAGAGUUCAAGAGUACGUGAAACCGUUCAGGGGUAAACCUGAGAAACCCAAAAGAUCGAAUGGGGAGAUUCAUCGUCAGCGGCGUUGACCUCUCGUUGGCGCGCGAUGUCCGGAUUUGGUUACCCUCGCGGUUCCAUUGCGCGGGCACGCCGUCUUCGGUUGAACGUUCGACGUCGUAGUCGUGCACUUCUCCCCUAGUAGAACGUCGCGACCCGUUGGGUGUCGGUCUACGGCCCGAGCGGGCGUGCGCCGUGCUUCGCAAUACGCGAGCGCGGCAGACCCUCGGUCGCCCGGCCGGCUGCCCGGCGGUACUCUGACGGUAUCGGGCCGCAAACCUUCGACGUUUGCGUCAGGCCCGCCGCAAGCUCUGUCAUUCUAUAGCCCGGUGGCACGAACCCAGUGUCGUCCACGGGCCUGGCUAGCUGUUGGCAGGCGGUGUCCUUGGACUGGCCAAUCUUCGAAUUACCGGUCGGCGACGCUACACUGCUUUGGGUACUCUCAGGACCCGUCUUG
rnacentral:rRNA from 1 species